rnacentral:rRNA from 1 species
UACGAAGGGGGCUAGCGUUGCUCGGAAUCACUGGGCGUAAAGGGUGCGUAGGCGGUCCUUUAAGUCAGGGGUGAAAUCCUGGAGCUCAACUCCAGAACUGCCUUUGAUACUGAGGUUCUUGAGUACGGGAGAGGUGAGUGGAACUGCGAGUGUAGAGGUGAAAUUCGUAGAUAUUCGCAAGAACACCAGUGGCGAAGGCGGCUCACUGGCCCGUUACUGACGCUGAGGCACGAAAGCGUGGGGAGCAAACAGG